rnacentral:rRNA from 1 species
GUGCCAGCAGCCGCGGUAAUUCCAGCUCCAAUAGCGUAUAUUAAAGUUGUUGUGGUUAAAAAGCUCGUAGUUGAACCUUGGGCCUGGCUGGCCGGUCCGCCUCACCGCGUGCACUGGUCCGGCCGGGCCUUUCCCUCUGUGGAACCCCAUACCCUUCACUGGGCGUGGCGGGGAAACAGGACAUUUACUUUGAAAAAAUUAGAGUGCUCCAGGCAGGCCUAUGCUCGAAUACAUUAGCAUGGAAUAAUAAAAUAGGACGCGCGGUUCUAUUUUGUUGGUUUAUAGGACCGCCGUAAUGAUUAAUAGGGACAGUCGGGGGCAUCAGUAUUCAACUGUCAGAGGUGAAAUUCUUGGAUCAGUUGAAGACUAACUACUGCGAAAGCAUUUGCCAAGGAUGUUUUCAUUAAUCAGGAACGAAAGUUAGGGGAUCGAAGACGAUCAGAUACCGUCGUAGUCUUAACCAUAAACUAUGCCGACUAGGGAUCGGACGGUGUUAUUCAUGACCCGUUCGGCACCUUACGAGAAAUCAAAGUGCUUGGGCUCCAGGGGGAGUAUGGUCGCAAGGCUGAAACUUAAAGAAAUUGACGGAAGGGCACCACCAGGGGUGGAGCCUGCGGCUUAAUUUGACUCAACACGGGGAAACUCACCAGGUCCAGACACAAUAAGGAUUGACAGAUUGAGAGCUCUUUUCUUGAUUUUGUGGGUGGUGGUGCAUGGACCGUUCUUAGUUGGUGGGGUGACUUGUCUGCUUAAUUGCGAUAACGAACGAGACCUUUAACCUGCUAAAUAGCCCGCAUUGCUUCCGGGCAGUGCGCUGGCAU